rnacentral:rRNA from 1 species
UACGUAGGGACCGAGCGUUAUCCGGAUUCAUUGGGCGUAAAGAGCUCGUAGGCGGCUAUUCAAGUCGAACGUGAAAUCUCGGGGCUCAACUCCGAGCCUGCGUUCGAUACUGGACGGCUAGAGUCUGGUAGGGGGAUCUGGAAUUCCUGGUGUAGCGGUGGAAUGCGCAGAUAUCAGGAGGAACACCGGUGGCGAAGGCGGGAUCCUGGGCCAGUACUGACGCUGAGGAGCGAAAGCGUGGGGAGCAAACAGG